GAAAUGCGAUAAGUAGUGUGAAUUGCAGAAUUCAGUGAAUCAUCGAAUCUUUGAACGCACAUUGCGCCCCUUGGUAUUCCAUGGGGCAUGCCUGUUCGAGCGUCAUUUGUACCCUCAAGCUCUGCUUGGUGUUGGGUGUUUGUCCCGUCUCCGCGCGUGGACUCGCCCCAAAGUGUUUGGCAGCCGGCGUACUGGUCCCGGAGCGCAGCACAUGUCGCGCAAACGAGUGCCUUGGUACGGCGGCGUCCAUAAGCCCCUCUCUCACGCUCUUGACCUCGGAUCAGGUAGGGAUACCCGCUGAACUUAAGC
rnacentral:misc_RNA from 1 species